GGAGGUGAGGGGGAUCCGGUGGUUCCCGCGGUCUUCAAAACCGUUGUAUCGCUUAACGGCGAUGGGUGGGUUCGACUCCCAUUCACCUCCGCCA
rnacentral:tRNA from 1 species